CCGUGUCACGACAGUGCUGUUCAGGCACACGGUAGCCUUUACCGGGCCUGCUGCUAUUCAAACCCAAUAAACUAACCUGAACUGUAAACCGGGAACGUACUAUGGCAACUGAAUCCCUCUUCAGACUCGGAGAAGCAAAGCGAGAGAGAGGGCGCUCUUUAACCAUCAGAUACCAAUAGGAAGCCAGUGCCAAGAGGAGAUGAAGAGGGCAGGUGUCCACAGCUGCAUCGAUGACUCCCUUUGAAGAUUAGAGGAGAAACAAGAAGGACGUUUGCAGUUGUUUGAUUGUGCAGCUGCAACUGUGGAAACUCCAGCUGUUCAUAAAAUAAUGCCGUUAGGAAUUUGGAUGUUGUACGUUUGAUAUAAUAAGGUAAUUGAUAAGGUUCAAACAAAUCUAAAUCAGAUACAACUAUUAGAUAUUUGAUACGUCUGUGGUUAGUUUAGGAUUGGUUGAUCAACAGAGCAAUAACGAUUGAGGAUCCUCUCUUUGAAGUUGUCUUAACAUUCACUGCUAUCUGAGGUAUUCUCUGAUGUGAAAGUGUAUGAUUUCUGAGAAGGCUCAAAUCAAAGAGAUAGUCUUUCACCACAUCCCGCCCUAGGCUUGUGUAACAA